UACGGGGGGGGCAAGCGUUGUUCGGAAUUAUUAGGCGUAAAGAGCUCGUAGGCGGUUUGUCGCGUCUGCCGUGAAAGUCCGGGGCUCAACUCCGGAUCUGCGGUGGGUACGGGCAGACUAGAGUGAUGUAGGGGAGACUGGAAUUCCUGGUGUAGCGGUGAAAUGCGCAGAUAUCAGGAGGAACACCGAUGGCGAAGGCAGGUCUCUGGGCAUUAACUGACGCUGAGGAGCGAAAGCAUGGGGAGCGAACAGG
rnacentral:rRNA from 1 species